UACGUAGGGGGCUAGCGUUGUCCGGAAUCAUUGGGCGUAAAGCGCGUGUAGGCGGUCCGGUAAGUCCGCUGUGAAAGUCGGGGGCUCAACCCUCGAAUGCCGGUGGAUACUGUCGGGCUCGAGUACGGAAGAGGCGAGUGGAAUUCCUGGUGUAGCGGUGAAAUGCGCAGAUAUCAGGAGGAACACCGAUUGCGAAGGCAGCUCGCUGGGACGUUACUGACGCUGAGACGCGAAAGCGUGGGGAGCAAACAGGAUUAAGAAA
rnacentral:rRNA from 1 species